rnacentral:rRNA from 1 species
UAGGGAAUCUUCGGCAAUGGACGAAAGUCUGACCGAGCAACGCCGCGUGAGUGAAGAAGGUUUUCGGAUCGUAAAACUCUGUUGUUAGAGAAGAACAAGGACGUUAGUAACUGAACGUCCCCUGACGGUAUCUAACCAGAAAGCCACGGCUAACUACGUGCCAGCAGCCGCGGUAAUACGUAGGUGGCAAGCGUUGUUCGGAUUUAUUGGGCGUAAAGCGAGCGCAGGCGGUUUCUUAAGUCUGAUGUGAAAGCCCCCGGCUCAACCGGGGAGGGUCAUUGGAGACUGGGAGACUUGAGUGCAGAAGAGGAGAGUUGAAUUCCAUGUGUGGCGGUGGAGUGCGUAGAUAUAUGGAGGAACACCAGUGGCGAAGGCGGCUCUCUGGUCUGUAACUGACGCUGAGGCUCGAAAGCGUGGGGAGCAAACAGG